AAAUGUUCUUUUAUGACAUCACACCACUUGAAUUUCAUUAUUUAUUACUUCAUAUCUUCAAUGGUUGUAGAAAGGUAUGAGUUGAUUUAUUCCAAAGAGCUGUUCCUUACGACCGUGUGGAACCAGACAUUGAUUAACUAGUCAUUUACGUGGAUAUCGUAAAAGCAUUCUUAAUCACACAUAUAGAACAAGAUGGAUGCUGGUUGAAGGGUGUCCAGACAAUGUUACGUACGGUACAUCUUAUAAUAUGGAUGGAGGAUGUGGGAUGUGCAUAUGUAAUGCACCCGACAAUUCAUCCGCAUUGUCAACUUCACAACCAACGUGGAACUGUUAUACGUGCCCCCCAAUGUUUAUUGUGAACUGUACCGAAAUGGAGGUAGUGAACCCCCUUGCAGACUACCCGGAUUGUUGUGAGAAAAGGUGUAAAACCGAAUAAACACAGAACAGAUUUCUUUAUUUCGUUGAAAAGAUUAUAAAGUCUGACUUUAAAUUCGUUAUAAUAAAUUCUCUGCAUGAAUAAAUUGAAUUAAUUAUGAUAA